AAUGGGAUAGCUGGGUCAAAUAGUGGUUUCAUUCCAAGUUUUCUGAGGAAUCUCCCCAUUGCUUUCCAGAUUGGCUGCACCAAUUUGCAAUUCCAUCAGCAAU
rnacentral:pre_miRNA from 1 species